rnacentral:lncRNA from 14 species
AAAAGCUACACUAACUGCUCUGAUUUAACACAGCAGUUGGCUGGAUCCAUAUGGAGCUGAUGAACCUCUGAAUGAAUAGUGAAUGGAAAAACUGCUGGAAUCUGCCUUCAGCUUUGUUCCCAGGAUGACCAAUGUAAAAGGCCUAAGAGCAAUACUGCACAGAUGGUGUAAAGAGAAAUAAGUCAUCAGUUUCUGCCUACCUUGUGUAUGAAGAGAACCAAUUCCAUAUUUAUCAGAACUCCAGACACCCCUUCUUCCACCUCUCCUUCUCAGGGCUCAGCCUGGAAAGCACUCACUGGUAUCUUCUUUCUGUGAGUACUGAUGAAUUAUUCUGGGAGAGACUGGGG